CAACGGCAGUGAAGAAUCUUGCUGGAGAUCCUCCCAUACAUCAGCAAGGAGCUUGUAUGGAGCUUUCUUUCCAGAGACGUCACACUGGAUUCAGAUGAUUUUCUCCAAAAAGCAGGCUAACAGUGAUGAGCAAUCCUUCCAAUAGGAUGAUGCUCAAGACAGACAAGGCCAUCCAUGGCUCAGAAUCCAUCCUGGCAGCAGGUUAAAUUAACAAAUCCUGUGACUGAACCUAUAGGGAUUCCUUUCAGGAUGUGGCUAGACGAUUUGGGAAUGGCCAUAAAUACAACGAAGGUCAAUGGUUCCAGCUUUCCUCAGGAAACAGAAACAAAAGCAAACCCAUCCAAGCACUCUGAACACUCAAAGACUUAAAGAAAUAAUGGAAGGUUUGAAGUGAAGUUUCGUAACCUGUCUGAAUCAGGAUAUUCUUCCUUGACAUAAAUCAGGAGAGGAGACGCAACGUUUGGCUAAUUUGAGUAAGACUUUGAUGAUAAUUUGCCAAGAGAGAGAAGUUAAAGUAAGCGGUACAACAUGAAAUAACAGAAACUAAAAUUAAUGGAGCUGUAAAUGGGAUUGCAUUGUGCAGGGCCCCAACAUAUGGUUCAAAUUCAGCGCUUCCUCUGUAUCUGACAGCGUUCUUACAGCAAGAAUGCUUCUGAAGAACCGCCGCUGCACCCACCAUGAAAACACAGAGAAGAAAACCUCGCCCCACAAUGUCUCUUCACCAUUCUUUCUCCUCCCAUGGUGACUGUGGUUUUAUUUAUGCUCUCAAUUAAACACAGGUCUGAGUUCGCACUCAUAAAUGGAUUUAUCAACCUUAUUUAUCGUAUAAACCUCAAGGCAAACAGUAGAAGGUCAUUUGGAUAGCAGAGUUGAGAUAUAUUCCGCAGCAAGAACCAUCUGAAACGUAGACUAAUAGUAGGCAGAAUGUAGGCAGCUAGACAGAUACUGGCAUAGAAUCUAAAGGAGGCACAAGUCCACCUAAAGAGGUAAAGGGAGGCCAACCAUACAGUUGCAAAACAACUCCAUUGGCCAAGUUUAGGAACCUUAGCAUACACUUGUUAUCAAUAAAAGAGACAGAUGUCUUAGCUCCGAAUGUAAU
rnacentral:lncRNA from 1 species